rfam:Myotis lucifugus cont2.36750, whole genome shotgun sequence.
CUACUUGCCUGGCAGGGAAGAUAACAUAAUCACGAAGGUGGUUUUCCCAGAGCGAGCUUAUCCAUUGCACUCUGGAUGUGCUGACCCCUGGAAUUUCUCUAAAUGUGGAAAAAUUGACUGCAUAGUUUGUUGCAGUGGGGGACUAUGUUCACGCCCCCCCCCA